rnacentral:misc_RNA from 1 species
CCGAGUUUUACAACUCCCAAACCCCUGUGAACAUACCACUUUGUUGCCUCGGCGGAUCAGCCCGCUCCCGGGUAAACGGGACGGCCCGCCAGAGGACCCCUAAACUCUGUUUCUAUAUGUAACUUCUGAGUAAACCAUAAAUAAAUCA